rnacentral:rRNA from 1 species
UUUUUUAAUUGAAAGCUUGUAUGAAUGGUUAAAUGAAAUAUAUUCUGUUUUAUAAAAAUUUUUGAAUUUUAUUUUUUAGUUAAAAAGCUAAAAUUAUUUUAUUGGACGAGAAGACCCUAUAAAGUUUAAUAUUUAAAUUAAAUUAAAUAAAUUUUUUAAUUUAAAUAUUUUAUUGGGGAGAUAAUAAAAUUUAAUUAACUUUUAUGUUUAUUACAAUGAUUUUUGAUUAUAUGAUUUAAUUUUAUUAAUUAAAAAAUUAAAUUACUUUAGGGAUAACAGCAUAAUUUUUUUUUUAAGUUCAAAUUUAUAAAAAAGAUUGU